rnacentral:rRNA from 1 species
GACGAACGCUGGCGGCGUGCCUAAUACAUGCAAGUAGAACGCUGAAGGAGGAGCUUGCUUCUCUGGAUGAGUUGCGAACGGGUGAGUAACGCGUAGGUAACCUGCCUGGUAGCGGGGGAUAACUAUUGGAAACGAUAGCUAAUACCGCAUAAUAGCAGUUAUUGCAUGAUAACUGUUUGAAAGGUGCAAUUGCACCACUACCAGAUGGACCUGCGUUGUAUUAGCUAGUUGGUGGGGUAACGGCUCACCAAGGCGACGAUACAUAGCCGACCUGAGAGGGUGAUCGGCCACACUGGGACUGAGACACGGCCCAGACUCCUACGGGAGGCAGCAGUAGGGAAUCUUCGGCAAUGGACGGAAGUCUGACCGAGCAACGCCGCGUGAGUGAAGAAGAUUUUCGGAUCGUAAAGCUCUGUUGUAAGAGAAGAACGAGUGUGAGAGUGGAAAGUUCACACUGUGACGGUAUCUUACCAGAAAGGGACGGCUAACUACGUG